CACUGGUCGAGAGCUGGCGCCGCUCUCCUGAUGGAGUCCAAGGCAGGACGAAACCCCGUG
rnacentral:hammerhead_ribozyme from 11 species